CAGUCGCCGCGGUAAUACGAGGGGGGCAAGCGUUGUUCGGAAUUAUUGGGCGUAAAGGGUGCGUAGGCGGUUUGACAAGUCAUCUGUGAAAUCUAUGGGCUCAACCCAUAGUCUGCAGGCGAAACUGUCGGGCUUGAGUAUGGGAGAGGUGAGUGGAAUUCCGAGUGUAGAGGUGAAAUUCGUAGAUAUUCGGAGGAACACCAGUGGCGAAGGCGGCUCACUGGUCCAUUACUGACGCUGAGGUGCGAAAGCGUGGGGAGCAAACAGGAUUAGAUACCCCCGUAGUCCCUGUCUCUUAUAC
rnacentral:rRNA from 1 species